rnacentral:lncRNA from 10 species
CUGAGGCGGGUGGAUCACGAAGUCAGGAGUUCGAGACCAGCCUGGCCAAUAUGGUGAAACCCCAUCUCUACUAAAAAAUACAAAAAUUAGCCAGGCAUGGUGGUGCGUGCCUGUAGGUCUCAGCUACUUGGGAGGCGGAGGUUGCAGAGAGCCUAGAUCGUACUACUACACUCCAGCCUAAGUGACAGAGUGAGACUCCAUCUCAAAAGAAAAAAAAAAAAAGGCGGUUUUAAGGAGUGCUAACCUCCAGUAAGAUCUCUUCAGUACACACAGAUCUGUUCACUGAGCUAUUAUUAUUCAACAUAAAUAUGAUAUGCUAUUUCAGGCCCUGAUAACAGGCUAAACAUUGCUUAUUGAAACAGGUGACGUAGCACACGCCAUUACAUCUAAAACACCAAGACUGGGUUGGUGAGUCCAGGUUACCCUUGAACAACUUGGGGGUUAGAGGCCCUGACUCCCCACACAGUUGAAAAUCCAUGUGUAACUUUUUGUUUUUUGUUUUUUUUUUUUUUUUGAGACAGGGUCUUGUUCUGUUAACCAGGCUAGGGUGCAAUGGCAUGAUCUCAGCUCACGGAAACCUCCGCCUCCUGUGCUCAAGUGAUCCUCCCAUCUCAGCCUCUCAAGUAGCUGAGACCACAGGAAUGCACCACCGUGCCUGGCUAAUUUUUCUAUUUUUUUGUAGAGAUGGGGUUUCGCCAUGUUGCCCAGGCUGGUCUCAAACUCCUGAGUUCAAGCGAUCUGCCUGCCUCAGCCUUUCAAAAUGCUGGGACUACAGGCGUGACCCACUGUGUCUGGCCCCCAUGUAUAACUUCUGACUCCCCAAAAACUCGAUUACUAAUAACUUACUAUGGACCAGAACCCUUACCUAUAACAUAAAGUCGAUAAUACAUAUCUUUUUUUUGAGAGACAGACCAAGUCUCACUCUGUUGCCCAGGCUGAAGUGCAGUGGUGUGAUCUCGCCUUACUGCAGCCUCUGCCUCUCGGGUUCAAGCGAUUCUUCUGCCUCAGCCUCCUGAGUAGCUGGGAUUACAGGCGUGCACCAGCACAUAGGCUAAUUUUUGUAUUUUUAGUAGAGACGGGGUUUCACCAUGUUGGCCAGGCUAGUCUUGAACUCCUGACCUCAGGUGAUCUGUCCGCCUCGGCUUCCCAAAGUGCUGGGAUUACAGGGGUGAGCUACCAUGCCAGGCCAAUAACACAUAGCUUGUAUGCGUAUUAUAUAGUGUAAUCUUACAUUAAAGCUAUAGAGGCCAGGGGCAGUUGGUGCUAAUACAUAUUGCUAUUACCAGAGCUGGCAGUAGGGUCCAUCUCAUUGAAACAAGUGACUUAGCAUGGACCCAUAUAUAUCUGUCAUAAAAAAUAGGCUUUUCUUUCAAGAUCAAAAAAUAAGGGGAAUUUUGUUCAUAUUUGGGAACUAUAGUGAUGCAGGGCUGCGGUCAACAUCUGGACAGCAUAAGUCUCCACACUAGAGGGGAGUGUGGGGCUCCCAUUCACAGGACAAACCCCAUGGGUUUGUAGAUUUAAGAUGAUAAUUUUCUGGCAGGCAUUCAGUGAAGUGUCUUUUCCUAACAAAUGUAAUUAAAACAAUUUUCUUUUUUUUUUUUUUUGGAGACGGAGUCUCAUUCUGUCACCCAGGCUGGAGUGCAGUGGCAGGAGGUUCAAGCAAUUCUCCUGCCUCAGCCUCCCAAGUAGCUGGGAUUACAGGCGCAUGCCACCACACCAGGCUAAUUUUUGUAUUUUAGUAGAGACGGGGUUUCACCAAGUUGGCCAGGCUGGUCUCAAACUCCUGACCUCAGGUGAUCCACCCGCCUCAGCCUCCCAAAGAGAUGGGAUUACAGGUGUGAGACCCCACACCCGGCAAAACAAUUUUCUGACAGAUGGAAGUUAAAGGUGUGAAGAGCACCUUUUCCUAACUUGCAUAAAGAUCUAUGGAAAUGCCACCCAGCAGUCUCAAAGUAAGGAGAGGAGCCUGCCUCCUAGGACCUGCCCUUUCAAAUGAAUAUGGAAGCCCUGAUGUAGCACUCGUGAGAUUUUACUGUCUGAGCAUGUUUUGUUGUUGUUUGGUUUCAGACAGAGUCUUGCCUGUUGCCCAGGCUGGAGUGCAAUGGCAUGAUCUCGGCUCACUGCAACCUCUGCCUCCUGGGUUCGAGUCAUUCUUCUGCCUCAGCCUCCUGAAUAGCUGGGAUUACAGGCGUGAGCCACCACGCCUGGCUAAUUUUUUGUAUCUUUAGUAGAGACGGGGUUUCACCAUAUUGGCCAGGCUGGUCUCAAACUCCUGAUCUCGUGAUCCACCCACCUCGGGCUCCCAAAGUGCUGGGAUUACAGGCGUGAGCCACCGUGCCUGGUCAUCUGUGGUUC